UCACGAGCUCGGCGCUAGGGUUCCAUGGCCGGCGACUCGAAGCUCGCCGCCGAGAAGGGAUCCGUGGCGGCAAAUCGGCCCCGACGGUGCAUCUCGCACCCGACGCAAGGCCCAUGGGAGGAGGGCGGGCAGCGGCUCGCCACCGCCGAGGAGUCGGCCUACGGACGGUCCCCCGCUCGGCCGCCCAGUCAUUGGCGGCGGCAACCGCAGCCAGGAGGGCACCGCCGGACUGUUGCAAGCCGACGCGAAAGGCCGGGCGGUUGAGAUGGCUAGCCCGGCCCGGUAGCGUCGCGCUCCCAGCAGGUCCUGAGUUCGAAUCUCAUCAGAAGCGAAUUUCAGGCUGCUGGGAGAAAAAAAACCCCUCGCUGUGCUCGCCGCAAGGCUUGGGCAUCUCGGGCAUGGGCCAGGGUUCGGGGGGUUUCUCUACCCGGUUAGCCGGUUAUGCUUCCUCUUAAUGAAAAAACGGUGGGGUCCGUUUCACACCCCCGGGUAGAGUUUUUUUGUUUUGUUUUGCAGCCUACAAAAAAUGUCGAUGAUUAGAUGAAAUGUGGCAUUAUUAAGAUUGCUGGACUUGUAAGAAAUAAGUUGAUAAAUUUAGUAUGGGCAACGACAAGGCAUGAUGUGUAUCUUAUGUCAUACUACUCUGUGCUUCAUUGGUCAGCAUUGACUCGUGAGAAGCAAGAAAUCAUUGAUCUUUAAGGGCAUGUCGCACCAUGUGAGCUACAGGGUUUCUCUUCCAAACAUUUAUUUUCGAGUCCUCUCUAUUUGAUGUAUGGUAAUACCAUUCUUAUCUUGUUUGUUUGUUGACUUCAGAAGCACCAUGGAAAUUUCUAUGUGGGAUUUUAUCAUUACUCAAGUAAGUACUUUGGCAGUGAAAAACAACUUGCUUGUUACUGGUGGAUUUCAUGGCGAAAUAAUAUGCAGAGUCUGCAGAUUUCAUCCACAUCUUUGAUGUUGAUAGUGGGUACAGCAGUAAGCAGGAACUGGAUUUCUUUGGUGAGAUCGCAGGCCUAUCAUUCAGUCCUGACACUGAAGCUCUCUUUGUCGGAGUGCAUGAUUGUGCAUACAGCAGCCUCCUCCCGUUCAGCC